UACAGAGGGUGCAAGCGUUAAUCGGAAUUACUGGGCGUAAAGCGUGCGUAGGUGGUUUGUUAAGUCAGGCGUGAAAUCCUCGGGCUCAACCUGGGAACUGCGUUUGAUACUGGCGAACUCGAGUGUGGUAGAGGAUAGUGGAAUUCCCGGUGUAGCGGUGAAAUGCGUAGAUAUCGGGAGGAACAUCAGUGGCGAAGGCGGCUAUCUGGACUAACACUGACACUGAGGCACGAAAGCGUGGGUAGCAAACAGG
rnacentral:rRNA from 2 species